rnacentral:lncRNA from 1 species
AAAAAAGUAUUUUACUGAUUUAUGAAAAAUGAAAUGAACAAAUGUUUAUAAAAUUCGUAUUAUUUUAGAAAUAAAAUGUAAAAAGGUUAUAUUCUGUUUACCCAAAGUAUUUUCUUUCUUUUUAUUUAUAUUAUUGAAUGCAAUUUAAUCAAACAAUACAUACAACAAAAUUUUUAAGAUACAAUUAAAAUUAACCAUGCUACUGAUUUUGCGACAAAUGAACAUGAUGGACAUCAUGGAUUGGUCAAUGUCUAUAAUGAGGCCAGUCAGAAGGAUAGAGUUCAGGGACAGGUCUACAUACUAUCUGAAAAAAUUGAGAACUGCCAUUUAUUCCCAAGUUUCUGCUAAUCUAGUUUGCUUCCAAGUAACCAUUUGGCCAUUUUUAUUUAGAAGAGAAAGAGUAAGUUGAAAGAAAAAUUAUAUUUUUGCAAACCAAAACAAUUAUACAAUAAUAAUUUAAAAUAAUUUUCAGACAACAAAAAUAAAUUGCACAAUAAUAAACAAAAUUUUGCAAAAAAUUAUACACUAGACAGAUCGCUUUUAUAAAAAUAUAAUUUUUUACUACAUUUAAUAUUUUUGAAAUGUCAUUAUUUCAGGAUGAAUAAAAAAUUGUGCACACAUAUUUUAUUAUUAUAAUGUUCAGAAAUAAGGGAAGUUUUAUGGAUUGUAAUGAUGGGAAUUAAGACUGCAAUAUAAAAUAACUUAUGAAAAUUAUCUAUACAAAAAUAUAAAUAUUUCACUUUUAUUAGUUAAGCAUUAUCAGAUUAAAAAAAAAAGGCUAAAAGAUUCAACUAAUCACUAUUUUAAUAUUCAAUUGAAUAAUUUAUAUCUCCUUUGAAAAUUAAACAAUAAUUUAAAUAUUACAAAUAUUUUCUAUUGCCUAAAAAAUCAGUCUAUUAAAAAUUUUAAUUUCUUACUUGUCAAUAACAAUUGUUUUGUGGUUUCACAUUUCUUCUACUGUUACUAAUAUACAAUUUUUGGAAAACUACUGUAUUUAUUAUUUAAUGAGAAUCAGUUUUGUAAAUUUUAAUGCAUAAAACUUAAAAAAAAAUUAUUGUGUUAAUGUAAUAUUUUAUGUAUUUUGUUAAUUAAUUGUAAAUUUGAAAUAUUUUAUAAGCUUUCAUAUGCAUUUAAUAAAAACUAUUAUUUUUACUUGUUUGUGAUAUUUUUUGUUUAAAUCAUGUUUAAAUUACAU